AAGGAGAGAAGAAACAUAAAAAGUAGUAGUGUGGACAAGAAAAGUCAACCAGUGCACGGGCAGCCGCAAUAUUAAGAGCACGGGCGUCCUACAUAAGAGCAGCCUGCACAGUCUACAAAUACAAAACGGUUUCAAAAGAAAUCAAUGGCCGUGAUUACUUAGAUGUAACAGUUUCAGACACGAGGGGCACGUGGCACAAGAUUAACAUGGGAUUAUGGGAGGCAAUAUCCUGUUGAGUCCUGACAAAUUAAUCGAAAUGAAAGCAACAUGGCACAAGUUAUCAGUGAGCAAGGCCGACAUAAGUAAAUUAUGGGAUUUCAGGCUUGUGGGGUUGGCAUUAUUUGGCUUGCUUAUUUCUAAACACAUCAACAGAAAAAUUAAUGUGUUCGCCCACUGCCCCGUUAAGAUAUAGCAUGUACAUAAUUCAAUUCAGAAUUUACAUCAAAUCAACCCCACAUGCGACAUUGAUUUCUUUAACUAUUUAUUAUGUGUAAUGCAGCCGAGGAUCAAGUUCUUGCCUUGUCUGACCAGUGAAGAGUACAAGUACCUCAAAUGAAAUGAUGAUAAUGGUAAUGAAUGACGAUAGGUGAUGGAUUUGGCUUUGGCAUACGUGCAAUAUCAAGUUUGUAGGUUCAUGGGAUCAGGUUCUCUGUAAUUAUGGGGGUCUUGCUAAGUUGCCCAUGCAAAAAUGAAGUGGAUCCCAUUUCCUUGUAAUUCCUUUUUGCAUGUUUUAGGGGUAAUGUAUAUUAGAUGAAUGGUAACUUAGCAAAAGCCUAAUUAUAUACAUUGGUUGGUUUUCGCUUGAAAGAGAAACAAGUUUGUAAAGUUAAUUACAUUAAGCAGGAAGCUUUACUAGAGAAGGUUAUCCGCUGCGUGGGACGUUAUUAAAAUUGUGUUAGCAAGGGAGUGCUUUGUAGAUAUAGAGUAUAUGAAUCUUAGGGUCGGUCUUAGAAAAGUAUGAGUUACAAGUAGCGCAUAUAUGAUAUAGUAAUCUUAUCUUAAAAAAUAUAAAUUAAUCAUCAAGGACAUCGAGAUUAAGCUCAAUUUAUGUAAGGUAUAAAUAAUAAGGAAUCCGUUACUGUAUCAAAGUAAAGAUCAAAUCAAAAGGUAAGUAAAACAUACAUUCUACUAUAAUAUGUUUUGUCAAAUAAUAUAUGAUGCUUUUAUCUUUUAACUUAUUCUUACAUCAUUAAAAUAAAAGAUCCCUUAUUAGAAGGCGACUAUAUAUAUCUAUAUAGUAUAUAUUUUAUUUCUACAAUAACUUCCUAAUCAGUGAUUUCUUAUUUUAACAAAAUGAAGACCAAACUAAAAUAGAACACACACUCCAAUACAAUGUGUUUUAUUUUUUUUAGCGUAGUUGAUUGCUUAGGGAAAAAUAUUUGACAUCAAAUGAGAUUAAUUACGCCAUUAAUAAUAUAAGGUUGAGACAAAUCCUCAAUUCUUAGCUAACCAUUAAGUAACAGUUAGGCACAUGAUUUUAUUUUAUUUAUAUAGUAUCAGGACCAAACUCAACUACGACUCUAUAGAUAAUUUAUAAUGUGAUUAGAGUAUGUAAAUAUAUCACUCAAAAUUAUCUUACUACAUGACAAUGAUCAAAAUGAAAAACUAACUUUAUGUUAUAAGGGUAACCGAAAAAAUAUCUCACAUUAACUCAAAUUAGUUAACUUCUGAAUAUAGAGAAAUAGAGAAUUUCUACAAAUGGAUUAUACUUUUGUAGAGGCUGGCCUAUAAUAGCAUCUCUAUCCAAUGGUUUAUAUGUUGGUAUCUUUAUCCAGUGGUUUAUAUGUUCUUGGAGUUACGGAAGUGGCCACUCGUAAACUUUGAACCACAGCUCGUGGGCGAAAAACCGAUUAUUUUGACUUUUGACAUAUUCAAUUUGCUGCGAUCGCUUUAUAAUGACAAAGUAAACACGAAGUGUCUUUUUUUCCCCUUAUAAAUCCUUUUAAAAAAAAAAAGGAUUUUCUUAAUCAAAAAAAAAAAAAAAGGAUUUUGAAGUUUUCUUCGUUAAAAUAGACUAUGUACAUCUGUGCACUUCACCUGUUAAAUAUUUAAUGGAUUGGUCCAGACCCCAGACGGUCAAACUAUACAAAACUCAUUGCACCCAAUUCCUAACAAAAAUUAAUUAAUCACUAUCACUUUGAACAGAUGUUCGGCUGUCUCUGGGCUGGCAUAAUGAAUCUUCAAGGAGGUCGUUCAUAUAUCAUAGUAUGUAAAUGUUGGUAUAAGAAUUGAUAUUGUUUGAUUUAAACAAAGUGAGUGGGUUUCUAGCUAAGGAAAUAGUAAAUUUUAUAAGAAAUUAAUCUACAUAUAUCCAGCCUUUAUCGUAGUUCAUCAUGGGAUCCAUGAAGAUCCAUGCAUAUUGGUAAAGUAGGUUGGUUCAGAUCCUUUUUUUAUUGGCACCUUAAAAUCUUCCAAAAACCUUUAAGACUGUUAAAAUUGGGAAAGAAACAAACGGCCCUUUACACGCUCCUCGCUCGCCAUCUAUUCCAAACUCAUCGGUUACUUUUUGGUGGAUGUGAACGUCGCUGUCAAAUGUCUAUCACACAUGCACGUCCCGUCGUUCAGUCCUCACUUUUCAUGCGUGCCCUUUCUCUCUAGCCAUAGCCCCCACACACACCACCACCCCCCCCCCCCCCCAACCCCACCCUCUCUCUCUCUCUCUGUCUUCACGCACACAUACACACGCGGCGCAAGUUAGAGACCCGUGCCGUGGCAACAAACAUCUGCGUUACUCUUUUCGACAUCCUGAAAAAAGUUGGGGAUAAUAGCAGACCAGAGAUUGGGUUACGUUAAAAGAAAAGAAAUCAAAAAUAGAAUUGUGAAAAUAAAUGAACACAAUAUUUGUAUGUUUAUCCGUGUUUGUUGGUACGUGCGUCCUUUCAUAGCUCAAUGGGCAAUAGCCGAUAUGGCUAGGAUUUCAUAAAAAGAGAGACGUGUGACCGACAUAAAAGUAACACAAACUUAAUACUAUGAUAAGCUUUUUCUUUUAUCCCGGUUAAUUCUAAGCUCCAAUGGGUGCUCUCAGUUGGAACCGGACAAGAUCCCUGAAUGCUAAAACCAAGUGUCAGAUAUAUCGGGGCAUCAUAAUAAGAAUGGAGGGCUGCGACUACUGUUAAGAAGCCACGCGUUGCUGAGUAUUACUGACGACCCAAAAAAAACAAAAGAAAGGAUAAUUAAGCGAUGGAUGUUACAUGUUGAACUUUUCAAAGUAGUGGUUAGUAGGAUAUUGUAGACCUAUAGGUUUUGCCUAGACAUUUUUGGAUCUCGAAAACGUAGUAACCAAACCAAAGUAGGGUGGUUUGUAUCAGAGAUUAGGGUUAGGGUUAGAGUUUUAAGUUCGUGUGUCCGAAUGUUAGCUCUCCUCUCUCGCACGUGCACGCGUGUGUGUGUAUUAGCGUGAGUGAAGAAAGAGGGGACAUGCAAAUUUUCACUUUUUCAAAUUAAGGUUUUUUUUUCUCAGUAAUUGUAUUGGCAUUUUUAAAUCUUCUGUUGCAUCAUAACCCAUCGAUAUUUACUAAACCAAUUGUGUGUGCAUACAUGGAUUUAACUUUUUAGUGAGAAAGCUUUCAAUUUCUUAAAAUUUACACUUAUCUUUAGCGUAUUAGAGCUCGUGUUUAAAUAGAAAAUUUAUUUAAAAUUUAAAUAAAACCAUUUUACUUAAUUUCAUGUCAUAACUUGUCAUUCAUUUAUUAGACUUUUGAAUUUUAUAACUUAAGAGAUUAUUAUUUUAUUAUCUAAGUGAUGAAUCAUAUCGUUCGAGACUCGAACUAUGACUAAAUGAGUAUUUAUUUUUUAACUUAACGACUUAGAGUGACUUAACUUAAUAAGU
rnacentral:lncRNA from 1 species